rnacentral:lncRNA from 1 species
UCUCUCUCUCUCUCUCUCUCUCUCUCUCUCUCUCUCUCUCUCCCUCCCUCCGUUCGAGCUCAGAUUGCCGGCGAAGCGCCGCCGCCUCGGCCUCGUCGCCUCCGCCAUCUCCUGUUUCGCCCCCGGCCUCGUCGUCUCUGCCCCGGCCUCGUCGUCUCUGCCAUCUUCUGCCAUCGUCUCCGAGCACCCCCACCACCACCUCCACCGCCACCUCCUCCACCCCGCCCGCCCCCUUCCGCCGCCGUCCGCAACCCUCCUCAACACCUGCAUCUUCGCCUAUUGCCGCUCUGGCUGGCCCCACCUCGCCGCGCAGCUCUUCAAAAAGAUGAAGCGCCUCAAAAUCCGCCCUAAUUUGCUCACCCUC